CGCCGCAGCAGCCGCCGCCGCCGCGGCUGCUGCGGGAGGUGCCAUUGCGUAGGCAGGAAUCUGAUGCUGCGGAUUCGGUCCCGGUAGAGCGAGCGUCUUAGUCGUAGCUGACGAAGUUGGGGAAGCAGGAGUGGUAGAGUGGCUUGUGUACAAAUACCAUGACAGUUAUUACAAUGUACUUUAUCAAGAUCUUCGACCUUAAGUCCAUUAUUCAUAAAUUUCACUUACUUGGCAACAUUUAGGCCACGAAAAAAUUUUGCUAUGUCCUGGUCCGAUGAUUGCCAGGGAAGACCUCUAGCUCUUACUACACAGCCAUUGUCAACUUCUUCAUCUUUUGAGCUAUGGAAGGACAUCGUAAGAUCAGAUUUUGGAAGACGUGACCUGUAAUAAAAGCAAUAUAAUUAAAACCAUGAAUGCAAAUAUAUGCAAAUAAAUGCAAAUAUACAUUGAAGUGAAUGAUUGAAGGUAUUUUGAUAACACUCCAAACAACAAAAAAAGGAAUAAAACAAUGAUUAACCUUAGAAGUCAAUGACGCUUAUGCAUCGAUUAUAACCAUGAUUCGCAUCGAUCCAAAAUACGAUUAUAACAUUCAACAUGCGAGGAUUUAAAUUCUUUAAAAUUUAUCCAAUAUAUUCGUUUGGCUUAAAAAGUAGAUCAUCGAUAAAUCUUAAUAUGCGGUACGCUGCACCAAGAUAAAUGAUUAUGCAGACAAAUAUAGAAGACGACGUAAAAAUCGAAUAACUGCUUUUAAUAAAACUUGGAAAAGGAUACAUUCCAUCAUCUCCUGUAUUCCAAAUGUCGAGAGCUCUCCAUGGGCUUCUGGAUGUAAGCAUUGUCUCAUCGGCGCCUGGCCGUCUACGACGAAACGUGGUGCGGAACCGGACGUCACGCACGACAUGGCGGACCACCAUGCUUCAAACUUUUAUUAAAAAUGAAUAUUUUCUUUUUAAUAUCUCAUACGAAUUUGAAUUGUACGUGCAUGUUCUUCCAUAUUCUCUUUAUCGUUUGUCGGGCUACAGAUACAAAUACAUAUAGAUACGUACAGAUACAUAUUGCGUUCAUAUAUGUAUAUAUUUCAACGACCUGGAAACAUUUUCAAACUUUCUCGAUAAAAGAUACGCA